CAGAAUAGGGCAUGAGGGUAACCAAGGGUUAAGGCAGAAACAAAAGAACAGCAGGUGCAGCCAGUUCUAGGCAAGAUUAGGCAGCAUAGAGGCCACGUGUUCAUUCCGUCAAUCAGGCGGAGUGGGGGGCGGGGAGGGUGACAGUUUCUGAUUGACGGCGGGGGGUGGGUGGUGGUGCGCAAGUCUCCACUUCAGCCUCUGAUUGGUCACAGGCCAAUCCUUCAGAGGGUGUAACCAAUCGGAGGCAUCUAAAGGGCACCUAGGGGCGUUACCUAAUUCUUCCAGCUUAAUAAAAAUCCUGACGGGUGCUAUUGAGCCGUUUGCUCUAUCCCGCUCCUGCUGUGUGAAUUGUACUUUCGCUUUAAUAAAUCUGUCUCUUCCUUACUCCGGUUUUUUCUUUUGUUUCUUUUCGUUGCUUUGUUCUUUUGCUACUUUGGGCAUUUUGUUCAAUUCUUUGUUCAACACGCCAAGAACCUGGGCAAUCCACGGUCAAGACCUUCCAUCCAGUAACAGAGGCAGGAGGAUUCCUUGAUGCCAAGGGUUCGAGACCAGCUGGGGCAACAAAGUGAGACCCUGUCUCUACUCUCUAUCUAACUCUCUCUCUCUCUAUCUAUCUCUCUCUCUCUCUCUCUCUCUCUCUCUCUCUAUCUAUCUCUCUAUCUCUCUCUCUCUCUCUAUAUAUAUUUUCUUUUAAUUAUCUGGGCAUGGUGGUGCAUGCAUGUGGUCUCAGCUACUCCUCAGGCUGAGGUGGGAAGAUCGCUUGAGCCUGGGAGUUGAGGCUGCAGUGAGCUAUGAUGGCACCACUGCACUCCAACCUGGGUGACAAAGCGAGAUCCUGUCUCUAAAUUAAAUUAAAAACAAUACCACCAAAACAACAACAGGUUCACGCCUAUAAUCGGAGCACUUUGGGAGGUCGAAAUGGGAGACCAUGUGAAGCCAGGAGUUCGAGAGCAGCCUGGGCAACACAGACCCCACCUCUACAAAAAAUAAAACUGGCCUUGAUGGCGUGCCCUGUAAUCCUAGCUACUUGGGAGGCUGAGGCAGGAGGAUGGCUUGAGUCCCAGAGGUUGAGGCUGCAGUGAGCUGAGAUCCCGCCGCUACACUCCAGCCUGGAUGACAAACUGAGAUCCUAUCAAAAAACAAACAAACAAACAGUGCCCCACUCAGUUUUUCCUGAAACGCGCAACCCUCGCCUGUAGCCAGGAGAAAACUCCGCAAGCCAGCAAAACACAAACUCGGCCGGGAAACAGACAACAAGGCCACCCUGGGGUGCCAGAAGAGGACGCUGCGAGGCGGGUUCUUCUUCCUGGUCGGCGGCGAGCGCUUCCGGGGUGGUGGCGAGGGAGGCGGAAGUGCGGUGUUCUAGCAGGUGGCUGCUUUCUGUGGGCUGGCUGUGGGAGGCUCCCGAGGUGGGGACCCGGCCGGGAUGGCUGCAGCUGCGGCCGGGGCCGGGAGCGGGCCCUCGGCGGCCCAGGAGAAGCAGUUCCCGCCGGCGCUGCUGAGUUUCUUCAUCUACAACCCGCGCUUCUGGCCGCGGGAAGCAGAGGUUGUUCGGAAUUCUAUAAUUGAAAAACAGUAAAGAUGGAAAACCAGUUAUUGAAUAUCAAGAGGAGGAGUUGUUGACCUCCCAGUGCCAAGUGUAUACGUGUGUCCGGAAUUGGUGGGUCUCACUGACUUCAAGAAUGAAGCCACGGACCCUCCUGGCAAUGCGAAGGUGCAUUCAUGUCAUCCUGAAGGCGGAAUUCUCCACGAGUUUUGAGCAGCCUCGGUUUUCCCACCACCUCCAAAUCAUGCAAGACACAGGGUAAGAGCAAAGACAAGGUGGCUGUGGCCGAUGUCCACCCUCUCGGGGCGUCCCUUCUCUUCUCUCCUCCUUGAGCAGGGAGACCAUCGGGGUGCAACCUGGUUGGGGCGGGGAGGAGGUGCAGGGCCUGGCCAGAGCGGGCCUGGCCACGGGCAAGGGACAGCGACCUCCUGGGCCAGGACAGGUGAGAGCGGCGCAGGCCCGGGCCCGGCGUGGCGGAGGUGCGCGUGAGCGGCCAGCAGAGGGCGGCAGAGAGCCAGGAGCGGCCCGCAGAGGAGCCCGCGCCGGCCCCGGUGCCCAGCUCCGCGCCGCGCGGACCCACCGAGCCCGCGCUCAGACGCCCCAGCUCCGCCGAGAGGCCGCUUGCGCCGGGUCCUUCUUCUUCCCCAAGUGCAGACAGAGCCCCCGGGGCCAUGGCCAGCCCUUCCGGCAGCUCCAAAGCCACUGGCAAGCCCCGAGGCAGGGACGGCCGGCCCAGGAGGGAGGAGGACGACGUCCCUCCCGAAGAGAAGAGGCUGCGGCUGUUGCUGGAGGCGGGAAGCGCGCAGCCCCAGGACUGCGAGGACGGCGAGGACGCGCCGCGACCGGGCAGGGAGGAGACCGGCACCCAGACAGGUGGCGACGGCAGAGGACCUCUGCCUCAGUCUCCUCUUCUGGAAAGUGGAAUUGGAAACCACAUCUGCUUCUCUCCCAGGACUGCUAGGAAGACAAGAUUAGAUGGCAGCAAGGUGCAUGGGUCGACUGAGCUGGGAGAGUCCACGGUGUCAGCCUCCCCUAUGCUUCCCUCCCUCCUUAUUCCUUGUAUGCUGUACUUUCUUGAUUUCCUGUACUCUGCACCAAGCCAGGAGAUGGAAGGAAAAUACAUGUACAGCCAACUUCCUUGAGGGUUCGUUCUUUUGCAUCAGGGUGUCUCAAACUGCUGCCCUUAAAACACCUGUAA